rnacentral:rRNA from 1 species
AUACGGAGGGGGCUAGCGUUGUUCGGAAUUACUGGGCGUAAAGCGCACGUAGGCGGAUUGGUCAGUUGGGGGUGAAAUCCCAGGGCUCAACCCUGGAACUGCCUCCAAUACUGCCAAUCUUGAGUCCGGAAGAGGUGAGUGGAAUUCCUAGUGUAGAGGUGAAAUUCGUAGAUAUUAGGAAGAACACCAGUGGCGAAGGCGGCUCACUGGUCCGGUACUGACGCUGAGGCCCGAAAGCGUGGGGAGCAAACAGGAUUAGAAACCCUAGUAGUCC